rnacentral:rRNA from 1 species
CCCGAAACCAGGUGAUCUACCCUUGGUCAGGUUGAAGUUCAGGUAACACUGAAUGGAGGACCGAACCGACUUACGUUGAAAAGUGAGCGGAUGAACUGAGGGUAGCGGAGAAAUUCCAAUCGAACCUGGAGAUAGCUGGUUCUCUCCGAAAUAGCUUUAGGGCUAGCCUCAAGUGAUGAUUAUUGGAGGUAGAGCACUGUUUGGACGAGGGGCCCCUCUCGGGUUACCGAAUUCAGACAAACUCCGAAUGCCAAUUAAUUUAACUUGGGAGUCAGAACAUGGGUGAUAAGGUCCGUGUUCGAAAGGGAAACAGCCCAGACCACCAGCUAAGGUCCCAAAAUAUAUGUUAAGUGGAAAAGGAUGUGGCGUUGCCCAGACAACUAGGAUGUUGGCUUAGAAGCAGCCAUCAUUUAAAGAGUGCGUAAUAGCUCACUAGUCGAGUGACACUGCGCCGAAAAUGUACCGGGGCUAAACAUAUUACCGAAGCUGUGGAUUGUCCUUUGGACAAUGGUAGGAGAGCGUUCUAAGGGCGUUGAAGCAUGAUCGUAAGGACAUGUGGAGCGCUUAGAAGUGAGAAUGCCGGUGUGAGUAGCGAAAGACGGGUGAGAAUCCCGUCCACCGAUUGACUAAGGUUUCCAGAGGAAGGCUCGUCCGCUCUGGGUUAGUCGGGUCCUAAGCUGAGGCCGACAGGCGUAGGCGAUGGAUAACAGGUUGAUAUUCCUGUACCACCUAUAAUCGUUUUAAUCGAUGGGGGGACGCAGUAGGAUAGGCGAAGCGUGCGAUUGGAUUGCACGUCUAAGCAGUAAGGCUGAGUAUUAGGCAAAUCCGGUACUCGUUAAGGCUGAGCUGUGAUGGGGAGAAGACAUUGUGUCUUCGAGUCGUUGAUUUCACACUGCCGAGAAAAGCCUCUAGAUAGAAAAUAGGUGCCCGUACCGCAAACCGACACAGGUAGUCAAGAUGAGAAUUCUAAGGUGAGCGAGCGAACUCUCGUUAAGGAACUCGGCAAAAUGACCCCGUAACUUCGGGAGAAGGGGUGCUCUUUAGGGUUAACGCCCAGAAGAGCCGCAGUGAAUAGGCCCAAGCGACUGUUUAUCAAAAACACAGGUCUCUGCUAAACCGUAAGGUGAUGUAUAGGGGCUGACGCCUGCCCGGUGCUGGAAGGUUAAGAGGAGUGGUUAGCUUCUGCGAAGCUACGAAUCGAAGCCCCAGUAAACGGCGGCCGUAACUAUAACGGUCCUAAGGUAGCGAAAUUCCUUGUCGGGUAAGUUCCGACCCGCACGAAAGGCGUAACGAUUUGGGCACUGUCUCAACGAGAGACUCGGUGAAAUCAUAGUACCUGUGAAGAUGCAGGUUACCCGCGACAGGACGGAAAGACCCCGUGGAGCUUUACUGUAGCCUGAUAUUGAAAUUCGGCACAGCUUGUACAGGAUAGGUAGGAGCCUUUGAAACGUGAGCGCUAGCUUACGUGGAGGCGCUGGUGGGAUACUACCCUAGCUGUGUUGGCUUUCUAACCCGCACCACUUAUCGUGGUGGGAGACAGUGUCAAGCGGGCAGUUUGACUGGGGCGGUCGCCUCCUAAAAGGUAACGGAGGCGCUCAAAGGUUCCCUCAGAAUGGUUGGAAAUCAUUCAUAGAGUGUAAAGGCAUAAGGGAGCUUGACUGCGAGACCUACAAGUCGAGCAGGGUCGAAAGACGGACUUAGUGAUCCGGUGGUUCCGCAUGGAAGGGCCAUCGCUCAACGGAUAAAAGCUACCCCGGGGAUAACAGGCUUAUCUCCCCCAAGAGUUCACAUCGACGGGGAGGUUUGGCACCUCGAUGUCGGCUCAUCGCAUCCUGGGGCUGUAGUCGGUCCCAAGGGUUGGGCUGUUCGCCCAUUAAAGCGGUACGCGAGCUGGGUUCAGAACGUCGUGAGACAGUUCGGUCCCUAUCCGUCGUGGGCGUAGGAAAUUUGAGAGGAGCUGUCCUUAGUACGAGAGGACCGGGAUGGACAUACCUCUGGUGUACCAGUUGUCGUGCCAACGGCAUAGCUGGGUAGCUAUGUGUGGACGGGAUAAGUGCUGAAAGCAUCUAAGCAUGAAGCCCCCCUCAAGAUGAGAUUUCCCAACUUCGGUUAUAAGAUCCCUCAAAGAUGAUGAGGUUAAUAGGUUCGAGGUGGAAGCAUGGUGACAUGUGGAGCUGACGAAUACUAAUCGAUCGAAGACUUAAUCAA